CCCUAUCGAAAGGGGAAAAGCACAGCGGCCACCUGUGCUAGAAUAACAAGCAAGCGCACUUCCUGUUCCUGUUCUCUUCUGCUUUCAUACACACAGCGCCCUUCUGACCAGGAGUUCUGCCUUGUCAAGACACUUCAACUGAAAUGGUUGAGCCCAUUUCUGGAUAUUUGGACUGCCUUUUAGUUUGGGGAAUUGGAAUUUCCUUUGGACCUGACAAUAACAAUAAAUAAAUAAUAAAUGGGCUCACAAAAUGAGAAUGAGAAGGAAUGCAAGAUGACUCAACAGAUAAAAGAGCUUGCCAUGAAACCCAGGGACCCAAAUUUGAUCACCAGAACCCACCGUGGAAUGAGAGCCCACGAACAUUGUUCUCCGACCUUCACACACAUCUGACCUCUGCGUGUGCUGAGUGCCCACUCACGUACAUUGUAACACGCACACACGUAAAUAAUUGAGAAAUGAGAAUGACAGGUGCUCAAUUUGGGGUUCUCAUUCCACGUCACCAGACUUUCCCAAAUCCCUGUACAGUCAGUGAAAACUGACACAGGAGUGUAGACUCAUCUAGUUCCCUGUCCCAUGAACAGGGGAGACGGUUGGUGUUUUUGUUUGCUUCUUUUUUGUUUUUCGAGACAGGGUUUCUCUUUUUGGAGGCUGUCCUGGAACUCGCUCUGUAGACCAGGCUGGCCUCGAACUCACAGAGAUCCUUCUGCCUCUGCCUCCCCAGUGCUGGGAUUAAAGGCGUGUGCCACCAACACCUGGUUGUUUCACUACAAAUAUUUGCCCAUUUGUACUGACUGUUCAAACCUUUGGCCUCAGGAGAUAUUGGCAUGUACUACAAGUCCCAGCAAGUCCAUCUUCAGAUCACAAAAGGAGCCAGGAAAUCCAGAGUCAAGAAAGUCUUGAAGCCAGGCAAGAAGCUGCAGCCUGAGAGGCAAGAGAGUCACUAUGAGCUCAAGGCCAGCAUGAACUACGCAGUGAACACUGGGCAUGCUGGAGCUGUGAAUUCGUCUUAACCCCCCUUAAAGGCAACAAAACAGUGAUUCCAA